UACGGGAGGCAGCAGUGGGGAAUAUUGCACAAUGGGCGCAAGCCUGAUGCAGCCAUGCCGCGUGUAUGAAGAAGGCCUUCGGGUUGUAAAGUACUUUCAGUCGUGAGGAAGGUGUUAAGGUUAAUAACCUUAGCAAUUGACGUUAGCGACAGAAGAAGCACCGGCUAACUCCGUGCCAGCAGCCGCGGUAAUACGGAGGGUGCGAGCGUUAAUCGGAAUUACUGGGCGUAAAGGGCACGCAGGCGGUUAAUUAAGUUGGAUGUGAAAUCCCCGGGCUUAACCUGGGAAUGGCAUUCAAGCUGGUUAGCUAGAGUCUUGUAGAGGGGGUAGAAUUCCAUGUGUAGCGGUGAAAUGCGUAGAGAUGUGGAGGAAUACCGGUGGCGAAGGCGGCCCCUGGACAAGACUGACGCUCAUGUGCGAAAGCGUGGGGAGCGAAACAGGGAUUAGAUACC
rnacentral:rRNA from 1 species